rnacentral:rRNA from 1 species
CACGUAGGGUGCGAGCGUUGUCCGGAAUUAUUGGGCGUAAAGAGCUCGUAGGCGGUGUGUCGCGUCGGCCGUGAAAACCUGCAGCUUAACUGUGGGCUUGCGGUCGAUACGGGCAUCACUGGAGUUCGGCAGGGGAGACUGGAAUUCCGUGGUGUAGCGGUGAAAUGCGCAGAUAUCGAGGAGGAACACCGGUGGCGGAAGGCGGGUCUCUGGGCCG